UCAACCUCCAAGGAAUGAAGGGAAUUUCCAAGGUCACAGGGGUAGUGCUAGAGUUAGGAUGGCACAUCGCGACACCAGUCUUACAUCUGAUGUCCCAAGGAAACAGAUCUUCUGGCUCUUGGGACCUCCACCUGCUCACUGUACUUCUGCUGGUCAUUGUCCCCAAGCAAUACCUGAUUCUACUGUGAGUUAUGUGGUUUGUAAAAGCGAGGAGGAAAUUGAGAGGAGGCUAUAAGACUGAUGAGAUUUCUGGAUUGUGAGGAGUAAUGUAUGAAGUUUCAUCCAGACUGCUGCUCCUACACCCCUCCAAAGAGAAAGUCUGAAGUUGCAACUGGGCGGGAAACUGCUGGAACGAUGGAUUCCAACUGUGGAGCAGAUGGUUCCGACUGUGGCGGUGAUGAGACGUGAGGGCUGGGAGAGAGAGAUGUUGAGAAUUGCUACCAGGUGUUUGACAGGAGUGUACAGAUGCAAUCAAUUACCAAGUGCUUACCACAUGCCAUUCACUCUGCUGGACACCAAACAUGCAAAGUGGGCUGGCACGUUGAGCUCUUCUACUCUGCUGAGAUGGCCCAAUCUUGGUCAGCCUGGUAUGAGGCUGCUUGGCCAUUAGCAAAAGGGAAGGACAGAGGACACAGCGCAACCUAACAGUGCUUUGAAAGAACAACUAAGUGGACGCCUUCAACUGAAUGUGGGUGAGUACUGCUUCCGU